ACAAACUUGGUCAUUUAGAGGAAGUAAAAGUCGUAACAAGGUCUCCGUUGGUGAACCAGCGGAGGGAUCAUUAAAGAGUUGUAAAACUCCCAAACCCAUGUGAACAUACCUUUGUUGCCUCGGUGGCCUACCCGGUAGCUACCCUGUAGUUACCCUGUAGUCCGCCGAUGGACCACGAAACUCUUGUUUUUAGUGUAUCUCUGAGAAUAUACUUAAUAAGUCAAAACUUUCAACAACGGAUCUCUUGGUUCUGGCAUCGAUGAAGAACGCAGC
rnacentral:misc_RNA from 1 species